UCCUCAAUUUGAAAACUGUAAAAAAAAUUUAAAAAGGCCCAAUCUCUGGAUCAAGCCAGAGGACUGUGGUGUGGGGGAGACGCCACCCCUGGGCUGUGCGUACACACUGACUGUGCGUGGGUAAAGCUGCAGGAGAGCCGGGGCUGCACCAAGGACAAGAGAAGCAGCACAGCAGCAGCCGCGUGCUGGUACACUGGAGCCUGGGGACGAGCACCAGGUUCACUGCCCAGGGGCCUCCUGGGUAGCCACGACUCACUCAGGGAAGGAGGAGGCACCAGCUCGGCUGCUGCCCAACCCUGAACCCAAAAGGCCGACAGCCGCAGUACCCCGUGGAACCCCGCAUACAUGGCUGUCUGCGGGACCUCGCUGUCCCACCUCGCCGCACCCACUUCAGGAGCAGACACCUGGACACUGCGGACAAACAGACUGGGGGGGGGAAGGAUGGUGAGCCGGCCCUGCAACUGUGGUCCCUCGGGAGGCUGAGGAGAAGACGAGGUGAACCCAGGACGGCCACCAAGCAGCCAGGAGAGCAGAGCCACACUGUUUCUAAGCAGAUCUUUUAUGAAUAAUGAUCUGCAAACAAAAAAAACCCGAGCAAUAAAAAAGAAACGGCAGCG
rnacentral:lncRNA from 1 species